rnacentral:lncRNA from 1 species
AUGACGACAAAUUACAAACUCUUAUGUAUCUCUAUUUAAUUAUCAGUAAUGCUACUUUGGCUGAAAAGAAGUGACUCAAAAUUCUGAAACUUCUAAUUUAAGUCAUUAACAAUUAUCAAAUCCUGAGGGAGUUAUGAGCUAAAAAUCUGAAUUAGCUGUUUAUGAUUCGAAACUUGCAUAGAGACUAUAAUUAACCAAAAUCUGUCUUGGUCUUUCUAUUUUUGCUUUCCUUUUUUUUAACCUGCUUUUCUCAUUUUCUUUUUU